AUGGAUUGGCCAUGUGUAGGAUUUCCAGCCCCAACCCCAGAACAAGCUGAAGACUCAGCCAAUAGUUACCAUCAACCUCUAUUAUUUUCCCGAAUGAGUUUUCAAGUGAUUCUAACACUGUUUUCAAAUUUCCCUGACUGACACUGAGUGAAGCAGAAAUGAACUCUCUCUGAUGAACCCUGGCCAAACUGCAGAUUUGUCUUCCCUUAGAUGUUGCAAGCCUUCAAUGGACUCUAGAGUUCCAAAACAGUUAUAUCAGAUGGUUCUCCCAGUGCAAUUGUUAUCUAGAAUCGAUGUGCAAAUAAUUUCCUUGGGAGGAACUCUUUAUAUACAAGAGGAUUCACUCCAAAUUGUACACCACACUCAGGCAUGGGACUAAGAACGAUCUACAAUCAGAAAGUGAUUCAAAAGACUCUCAGCUAAGUGCUACAUAAUGAGCAACUCGUACUCCUCAACCAAACGAUAAUGAAAGAGAGGCACCUGACUCAAGCAAUGGAUGUCGGAGCAGAAGACUAGAAGGCAAAGCAAGUACAUGCUACCUGUCUGGGCAAGACCUUUCAGUGCCUUUCCAUAUUUCAAUGGGUAGUCAUCUGCACACCUUCCAGUCUUUUCUUCUGUAUUGCAAAGGCUAGAAGCCUUGGUACUAUAUUUAUCAAACUUACUUUUUUUUUUUUUAACAAAUCUUCAAUGUGAUUCUCAUUUUGCUAAGAUACAUUUGUAUGAAAUUUUGAGAUAGAAAAGUAUGAAUAAGAAAGCAUUGCCUUCUUUCUCAGUGGCAGCACACAAACAUAUGGACUUCACAGACACGACAUUUUGCAGCAACUUCUAGAUCUUCCCCCUGUGAGUGCCCUGGGACAUCAUUACAAUAAAUAAACCAUUCAGGAAGUCAAAGGAUGGUAGUUUUCACAGAAGCAUUGCAAGCAUUGAGAAGAAAAAUAAUCCAUAUCUAGUAGGUUUAUUUUUAUGAGGAUAAAUCUCUGGCCUCUCCAUAUGGAAAAGGAUCUCCUGUAAGUUAAUCCUGCCAUCAGGUUGCUGGCUGGUUUGCCUGGGAUAUAAAGCCCUAUUAGUGAGCCAGUGGUGACCUUUGCUGCUGUCUGGUUAGAUGCGCAGCAGCACUGCAGUCACCCUUUCUGAGGGAAAGUUCACGUUUUGAAGCCUAGGUAGAAAUUCUCUCUGUACCACCAUGGUUUCACUGAAUGUGAGUCAAUUGAGGCAUCACCAGGGUGGCAAAAAGUUAUCAAGUCAAGCCCAGUCAACUCAGAAAAUUCAUCUCAGAAUUCCAUUUUACGUCAAUUUCCUGGCAUAAUGUUGAAACACUCUGCCCUUUAGUAUCUGGAACAAUGUCUAACACAAUAAUGCUUAACGCCGGGGAAAUGAGGGCAUAGGUCUGAAUCUCCGGAGAUUCCUUUUAUGGGGAAUAUCUUUUAACACCCCUUAGGAAACAACAUCAACUCACUAAAGACAGUACCAAUAAGGUCUCCUGCCUUCCCCAGGAAUAAAGAUUUAAAUCACACCAGCUCAAUGCUGGUUGAGGGCAAGGGAACAAUGAAUGGCUUGUGGAAGGGGAAAGUUAAAAAUGCAAAUUACAACUUUGUGCCCCAUUUAAGGAAAGAGAACUUGAAUAGCUAUGCAUAUUUGUGUUUUCUUCCUUGCUUUGUUAUGUACAUAUUUGUAUAUAUCAGCCACUAACUUCUUAUCUUUCCUUCAUUCUUCACUUACUAAUUUACAUAAGGUACUGGUAGUUCAUAUAAAUUCAUUUUUAGAGACUAAAUAUAAAAGCAGAAUUGCAACUGAACUUAAGCAAGAAUCAUUAUCACCCAGGGCUAGAUUUGGUGACUAAUAGAAGUUUGGAUCUCUAUUUUUAGAGGAGGGAUUGAGAAAAUUUUUGUAUGGGGAAUAAUUCUAUUCUAUUAGCAAGAAUCGUGUUGUUUUUUGCCAUUGCUGCUAAUUAAAAUUUUAAAUAUUGUCAAAAGUGGUAUAUAUUAUGCUCGAUUUUUUCCUUUUGGCACCCAGUAUAUGUUCCCAAACUCUCCUGUGCUCUUUUUGCUAUCAUGUGAGCUAAAAGCCUGGUAAGUAGAUUUUUCAGACUCCUUUGUAUUCAGUGUUCAGUGUAUGAUGCAUGUUUUGACUAAUGGGUAACUGCAUCUUUAAUCCAUAUUGUUAUUUAACAUACAUUGUAAUUUCCAUACUUGUUUUCAAUCUCCCACACUAGAAUGGCAAUUGUGAAAGCACGGAGGUUUUUUUUCUUUUUAUUUUUUGAGAUGGAGUCUUGCUCUGCUGCCCAGGCUGGAGUGCAGUGGCGUGAUCUCGGCUCACUGCCAGCUCCACCUCCCAGGUUCAAGUGAUUCUCCUGCCUCAGCCUCCCGAGUAGACGGUACUACAGGCGAGCGACACCAUGCCUGGCUAAUUUUUGUAUUUUUACUAAAGACGGGGUUUUACUAUGUUGGUCGGGCUGGUCUCAAACUCCUGACCUCGUGAUCCGCCCACUUCGGCCUCCCAAAGUGCUAGGAUUAUAGGCGUGAGACACCGUGCCUGGCCACAGAGGUUCUUUCUAUCUGGUGCUCAAUAAUAUUUCCUGCAUGAAUGAUUAAUAAGUGAAUUAAUAUUAAAACAAAAAAAUAAGAAAAGUCAAUGACUUUAUAGGAUUUGCACAUUGAAAUAUUUUAAAUUGAACUAGGGUAACUUCAACAUGCUAACACAUGUUGAGACAUGGACAUGGUAAAUUUUUCAGAUCCAUAAUUUUAUAAUAAUUUUCAAAUUACAUGAAAGCUUUGCAGCACUCAAAACCAAGGUACAAAAAGAAAAAAAAAAUCUUACAAUCUCAGAUGGUUACCCAAAAUAAGAACAUUUCUUAAAUUUCUGCAAAAAUAUUGUAAAAAUGAAACACAUGAAUAGAAAAAUAAUCAGUGAUAAAAAGUAUUGAUUGAGUAGGUUAAAUUGAUUAUUACUAGUAUCCAUAGUAGAGAAGAAAGAUAGUGCUAUUCAUUACUUGUUAUUUUCUUAUCCUGAAAGACUAGAUGCUCUUUUAGUUUUGCCUUUCUACCCACAUCAGAGAUAUUUCCUCACUACUGGUGUUUGUGUGUAUUUUUCCAAGGGAAUGAUUAAAUUCUGGAGGAGAAGGUUCAUGUGUUGGUGAUUUUUGUGUCUUUCAGGGUAUAACUUCUUCUCACACAGUGGGAAAAGAUAUAUUUUUUUAAAUUGAAGUAAAACAUUUGAUGUGCCUAAAUAGCUAGCUAGAAAUCUUCUGCACAUACAAAGUUCAAUUUCAUAAAUUCUAUAGUACAUUGACUAAAGCUAUAUAAAAAUAACACAAACUUAACUAAAAGAGUAAGCCUUCAAAAUAAUCCUGAUUAAUGGAUGGACUAAUUAUUCUUCACUAUGGAAGAUAUUUGAUAGCAUUCAUUAGUCCUUCUCAACAAGUAGAUCCUUGCAAAAUAAUCGUAAGAAUCAUUUCUUUUAAAUUAUUUAAAUCGUUCUUUAAAUUAAAACAUAUUAUACUUGCAUUGUCAGUCAUUUGGAAACUUUAAUAAUCAAAAUGAAUGUCAGAUUUUAAUGAAAAUUAGCCCUCACACCUGUCAUCCAAACUUAUCAUAUUUCUCAUUUUGACUUGAAAGUGGAAAAAAUACACCCUUCUAUAUCUGAUUAUUCAGCUUUUGACCUUAUUGUAUUUAAUUAUAUAUUUUAUGCUUAUUAUGAAUCUCUUAAUGUAGAUGAGUUUCUUUUACCCUGUAGUGGCUCAUUGAACUGAUAGAGUUGACAAUUUUUCCCAAAAAAGCAUGCAUUAAGUGUCAUCAUAAAAUCUAAUUUACAGCUGUCCUACAUUUGAGUACAACUGCUUUCUACACACUGUACUUAGUUAUAUCAUUUGUUAAAUAAAUUUGCAUGUCAUAUAUGAAAU
rnacentral:lncRNA from 10 species